rnacentral:tRNA from 1 species
GCGGGCGUAGCUUAAUGGUAAAGCACCAGCCUUCCAAGCUGGCUAUGCGGGUUCGAUUCCCGCCGCCCGCU